UUUUCCUUUUCUACUUUCUCUUUCUUUCUUUCUUUUUUUUUUCCCCCCUUUUCUUUAAGGUGGAGAAAGAAACAAACAGGAGACAGGAAGCUGAUUUGCAAGGAUUCGGAGUUGUGUUAAAAGGACUUUGAUUUUUUUUUUUCCCCUUUUACAAACGCUGGCAAUUGACAUCACUACAGACAGCCUGGUAGGGAACAAACUGCCUGGUCCCAAGUGGACCCCAACAGCUGGGGGAAGGCAGGCAAGAUCUGGGGAGGCUGUGUGGGGGGUUUUUUUCCCCUACCGAUCCCCCGUCCUUUUUUUUUUUUUUUUUGGUGUGUUUCUUUUUUACAUUCUUGCUGUGUUGGAACUAGCGAGUGGUGGAAGACGAGGAUUCUCCGAAGCCUCAUCAGUCAUUGGGACUGUCAGGAAUAGUGGUUUAAGAGGAAGCUCGGCCUGGGGCACUAUACCCUGUCAUCCAGUUCCCUGCCUCGGAGAUCAGGAUUCCAGCUACAUGGGCAAACGCCUGGAUCAGCCACAAAUGUACCCCCAGUACACUUACUACUAUCCUCAGUAUCUCCAAACCAAGCAGUCCUAUGCACCAGCUCCCCACCCCAUGGCUCCUCCCAGCCCCAGCACAAACACCAGCAGCCACACCAGCAGCGGGGAGCAGUUGAGUAAAACCAACCUGUACAUUCGAGGCCUCCCGCCAGGCACCACUGACCAGGACCUAAUCAAGCUGUGCCAACCGUAUGGAAAAAUUGUAUCCACAAAGGCAAUUCUUGACAAAAACACAAAUCAAUGCAAAGGUUAUGGUUUUGUAGAUUUUGACAGCCCCGCAGCCGCACAGAAAGCCGUCGCGUCUCUCAAGGCGAAUGGCGUGCAGGCACAGAUGGCCAAGCAACAAGAGCAAGACCCAACAAACCUUUACAUCUCAAAUCUCCCCAUUUCCAUGGAUGAGCAGGAACUUGAGAAUAUGCUGAAACCCUUUGGGCAUGUCAUUUCCACAAGAAUACUAAGGGAUGCUAAUGGAGUCAGCCGAGGUGUUGGCUUUGCCAGAAUGGAGUCUACUGAAAAAUGUGAAGUGGUAAUUCAACAUUUUAAUGGAAAAUAUCUGAAAACACCCCCAGGCAUUCCAGCCCCUAGUGAACCUUUACUGUGCAAAUUCGCUGAUGGAGGACAAAAGAAGAGACAGAAUCAAAGCAAAUACACCCAGAAUGGAAGGCCUUGGCCCAGGGAAGGAGAGGUACUCAGAGGCAGGACUGUCCCUAGGCAAAAUCAUGAAGCUAGCAUGGCUCUGACCUAUGACCCCACUGCUGCCAUACAGAAUGGAUUUUAUUCUUCACCGUACAGUAUUGCAACCAACCGCAUGAUUCCACAGACAUCUAUCACGCCAUUCAUUGCUGCUUCCCCUGUCUCCACAUACCAGGUCCAGAGUACUUCAUGGAUGCCUCAUCCGCCAUACGUUAUGCAACCAACAGGUGCUGUGAUCACGCCGACCCUGGACCACCCCAUGUCCAUGCAGCCAGCGAACAUGAUGGGCCCCCUGACACAGCAGAUGAAUCAUCUUUCGUUGGGCACAACAGGAACGAUUCAGUCCCAAGACAGGAUUAUGAUACUCCACCAGCUGUUGUGUCAGUAUAUGACUGCUGCGGCUCCUAUGCAAGGGACCUACAUUCCCCAGUACACGCCUGUGCCUCCGACAGCUGUUUCUAUUGAAGGCGUCGUUGCCGAUACCUCUCCCCAGACAGUGGCCCCUUCAUCCCAGGACACGAGCGGUCAACAGCAGCAGAUAACAGUGGACACGUCCAACGAACACGUACCUGCAUAUUCCUACCAACAGUCUAAACCGUGAACAAGACUGAAGAAUGUCUGAAACUUUGCCUUGAAUGAAGAAACUUCAUUGAACAAGAAGCUGGCUUCCAGUUUGCACAGGCGUCAAUGGAAUGCUUUUUUCUUUUUUAAUUUCCUACUUAUCCAAUGGAAAAAAAGGUGUUUUUAUGUGCUGUGCAAAUGGUUCCUUCAUGUGGUCUAACAGUUUAUUUUUGCCAUCAUUUUUUUUUUUAACUAAAGAAACAAAUACCAGAAGAGGAAAACAAAAACAAGACCAUACACACAUACAUUACAAACAAAGCAGAGAAGGUUGAAAUUUUAUCUGGAAGAAUAUUUGAACUCAAUUCAACUGAAGGUGUAGAUAGAUUUUUUUUUAAAAAAAACAAAAAUUCUGAUGUCAAGAGGUGGGCAAGCAGAAAUGGAAACAAAUUGUCUUCCUCAAUAAUUAAGCUAUUCUUUCUUUUUCCCUUGUUGAAAUCUAGUGGGUUGGAUUUUUAUUUUAUUUUUUUCUUAGAAAUAUAGGUAAGGUUUAUCUUGAAUCUUAAUUGCCUUAAUUUUAAGGACGUCAAAAGCUCUCGAGGCAAGCUGUCAACGUCUUGUUAAAAAAAAUAUCAAGAAAGAAUUGAAAUAUUGUGCCAGCUUUAGCUGGUACAGAAGUUUAAGACUAUGAGUUUUUAGGGUGAAAAAAACUGUACAGUUUAAAAGAAAAUGCUUUUCUUCAUUUGAAGAAAAUUUGUUGAUAAAGGAAACUGGCAACGGCAAGAAUUGGGAAAAUGCUGGGACUUUUCAUGAACUUUGUCUUAAGUGUUCAGUCAUUCUAGAAGGCUAAAACAUUUUAUGGAGAAGUUACUAACAUUGGUUUAAAAACAACUGCAUUAGAAAUAAUGCGUGUUUGGGGGGCAGAAUGCAGAUUUUUUUAAUUUACGAGGCGUGAUUGCUAGCAAAAACAUUAGUGCUUUUUAUCUGCAGUCUUUUUUAUGAGCUUUACAAAGUUUUUAGUCAGCUUUGCUUGUCACAUUGCAAAACCUAGCUUAAGAGCAUUAAAAAAAAAACUUAAGUAGAUAGGAGCUUAUGGUCAAAAAGUGCAAAAACAGAAAAAAAAAAACAAACAAAAAAAGCAAUAGAUAGAGAAAUUGUUGACAAUUUCUGUAGUCUUUCCUAGUUGUGAUCAAAUUCAGCCUAUGGAUGGCCUAUUUUAUACCAAAGAUGAAGUGGCACCCUAUUGCAGUCCAGAAAAUAGAAGUUUUUUUUUUCUUUCCUUCUCUUUUCUUUUUAAAAUUUUAUUUGAACUACAUGGCCGGACCAGUUCUGACUGUGUUGUUCGUUUAAACUACCUUCCACUGGUGUUUUACAUAGUGCAAAAAAAAAAAAAAAGAAAAAAGUUGUCUUUUUUUUUUUUUUUAAGUGUAUUUGUUGAUAGUAGAAGCUUGCACCUGCUGUUUGGCAGUUUGAAUAUGAAGAGUUCUGGAUACCAACAGAUUGAACCAAAUGACUUUAGAUUUUGUGAGCUUUUGUGGUUCCUUAGUAGCUCUUUUGAAUAAUGAAACCUAUAUUGAUGGCCACCAAUAAGCCAAGACACUUGUUUAACAGAUGAAAUUUAUGGGAAUGUUGAAUGGAAGGUACUUCCUGAACUGGUCUGAAAGGUCAUUUGUCAGAACAGCUUAGUGAUAGUCCAUUAAGUGGUGAACGCUCUCCUGAAAAGGCCUCAGAGUAUUUGUGACAAUAGUCUUCCUUCUAAAUUCCAACACCUCUGGGGUUUGUCUGGUCCCCUCAGUCCUUGUCAUCAUCCACCAUGAAUAGGCAUCUUGAUUCUGCAUUUGGGGAGGAGACUUCUUCCUUUUGCCUUCUUUCAUUAUAUUUAUACAUCCUGGUGUUGUGAGAAGAAAGACAAAAUAGACCUUUUUAUUUCAGUUUACCUCUCUGAGGCAAGUAGGACCAGUAAGAUUGAGGAUACCAGUAGUGAAAUUUAGGUAAGCUUUUAAAAUGCUAGUUGACAAUCAAGAAAUUGUAUGAUUCAUAUUAAUAAGAACCAAAAGAAUUAGGUUUGAUCAAUCAUUAAAGCCAAAGGAAAUAUAUUUGCAUUGAGAGUAACGCCAAACUUUUGUCUAAAAUGAAUUAAAUUGACUUCACAAAUAGCUCUGCAUAUUUGAUUCAUGAAAUCCAUGUUCAUCCUGUACAGUUUUAUCUGAAAUUAAGGACAAUGGAACUUUGUUAAUUGAACUACAUACUAGAAUUGCUUUCUGAAUGGUUCAUUAGAAUCAAAUAGGUGAAACUCUUUCCACAAACUAAGGCACAGGUACCUGUCUUAGUCCAGAGGGAAGAGGGAACUGCAUUAAAUGCACUGUAAAAGAAAACAGGGUAGGCUUUUAAAACCUAAAAAAGAAAAGAAAAAAAGAGGUAAAUUGUAUUCCCAUUAGGUCAACAUGAGUAAUGAGUUUGACUCAUAUGAAACUGUCAAUAUUGUGCUAUUUAUGACAUAAACAAAGGCCUAGUGUUCGAAUAGACCUGGUUCUCUUAUUUGAAACUUUAUGUUUUGGAGACUCAGAUCUAGAGAGUGACUCCCUGUCUUUGCAGUUAAAAAAAAAAGCAAACACAUAUCCAAGAAAAUGUAGCAUGUGCUACAGAAAAAUUCCAACUGGCCACACCCACCCUUAUGGUUUGCUAUGCUUUAGAGAGAAUCCUAGAUUUGUACUUUCUUCUCUCCCAUCCUUCAGCUUCUCAUGUAUUUUGUGGGUAGCACUUAAGUUUUACCCUUGAGAAGUGGGCCCUGAGGUCCAAGGGGUGUAAGCAAACGCAUAUGGGAACUGUGUUUUCUGUUUGGCUUUUUCAGUCUCUCAACUUUUUGUAUACAUAAGGAUUAUCCUGGGCAUAAUUCAUUUGAGUAUGAAGGCAACAGACUUUCUUUUACCUCUGUUAAAAAAGAAAAAAAAUAACGUGAUGCAAAGAAAGUCUCAUUUACACAAUCGACAAAGAGGCUAAGAGUAACUACCCUGUGGCUGGGGGAGAUGCCUAGGUAACUUCUUGUUUCUAUUCAAAACUACUGCUUUAUUUGUACAUUCAGAAACAUUCUUUUCAACUAUGAAAUUUCAAUGACCUCCAUAUUUUUUUUAAACCACUUCAGGCAAAAGGAAAUUACCUGUCGUUUUACAUGUCCAUGUAUGUUUUGUGUUUGGAUUUUUUAUAUCAUGUCAUUCUAUAAAAUAUCUAAUUUCAAACCAAAAAGAAAAAAAAAAAGAAAAGAAAGAAAAAGUGGCACAUUCAAAUUUGCGUCUGUUGUCUUACCUAAUAAUUGUUUUACAAGUCAAGUCUGGGAAAGAAAAACAAAAGAAAAAACUGUCAACAGGUAAGCAGCAUCCCAUUGUGUGAAAAAUAGAACAACCCAAAAUACGUGGUCAAUAUAUAUACAGACACCGAAUCCUAAUGUAAUCAAAGAUAGAUAUGUAUUAUGGUGAUUUUAAUCCUACUUAGGACUGUAACCAUUUUUUUUAAAGUAUUCUAGUUUAGACUUUCAAGCAUUUUUUCAGAUGUUUCCAGUUUUUCUUUUUGACUUGAAUUGCCAAGACUUAGCCUAAACAUUAGGAAAAAAACUAAAGCCACCAUCCAAGUGGGAUAAACACUAUCUCAUCCAAAAUCUAAUUAUGUGGUCCCUGGAGGAAUGGGUUUUGUGUCAAUAACAAUAAGGUUUUGUCAGGGGAGGUAAGGUAGGAACAGAGACUGGGGAGCUCCUCAGGGUCUUCAAAAGACAUCAUGGACUCUAGGGGAACUGAAGGGGUAAUAUUAGCCCUGUCUGUCCUUAAAACACUGGCAUGUCUUGAAUAUUGCAAGUGACACCAUAUUGAAAAAAAAAAUAUCCUCUGCCUGAUACCAGUGGUUGGGAUUAGCUUGGCCAGGAUUAGUUGGUAUCCUUAGAUUUCAUUCAGGUAUUGUCUCCAAGCUUCCCUUGAAUCAAUUCUUCCUGUGACCCUAAGAGAUCUGCCACAAUGGAAAGCAUAUAAAACUCACAUCCACUCCUUCAAUGAAAAACUACAUGGUGUUAAAAGCACCCAUAAUAGAGACCAAAGACUGAGGACAGAAGGCUAGAUGGAGCAGGAAGUUCAUCGUGUUGACAGAAUAUAGACCCCUGGCAAAACUGCUUUAAAAUCAAUUUCAUGUAUGACCAAAAAAUAAGGACUUUUUUUUUCCCAAAAAAAACUUAUUUUGAAUAACUAGGAUGUGUCCUAUAUACCCAGAUAUCUUUUACAGUACUCUAAAAUCCCUAGUGACUGUGAGAUUUGACUUACAUGGGACUUUUGCCAUCUCCUUCGUGAUUGAAAAGUUUCAAUAUACUGUUUAGACAGAUGAUAAUAUUAGUUGGAGAUUACAAAUACAGUUGAGAAUUCAGUCUCAGUCUUAACUUGAGUUGUACAAACCACUGCAGAUGAACUGAUAAACAGAAAUUCUUAAGUGGGUUAAAUGUUUUUCUAUGAUAGAAAAUUAAAGGAAAGGAUAUUUAUGUAUAUGUAUAAAACAUUUGGCACAUUUGAGGGCUCUCACUUCUUAAUAAAGUUUUAACAUGUCAUAGAGCCUUGAUUUAUAUCAUCUUGCCCACAGAAGGGAGCAAAGGAUGAGAUUUUGUUUCUCAUGUUAUUGUGGCUGGCAUGCUUUAAAAUUUUGAGCUCACUGGGACUGACAACCUCUUGCUCCAGUCUGAGGGACCGAUGUAAUUUAAAGAGGCUCAUUGAUUCUGUACACUAUGCCCUUCCUGCAGCAGAACGAUAAUGGGAUUUCAUUAAUGAAUCAAUUUGUAUUACAAAUAGCAUCCACUGUGGCAUUGGAAGACAGUUGACUCUCACUCAGAUUUCACGUCUUACCAAAUAUUCUUAAAUAUGAAAGCAGUCCCUUAAUCCGAGUGCCCCUGGUCAUGGCUGUCCUUUGUGGACCACGUAGAGCUCAGGAAUGUACAAAAGCUAAGUACAAGAUCCCUGAGUGGCCCAAAGAUCUUUUAUGAUGUAAGGCAGGGAGGCUCCCUUCUGACUGGUGAUUUCUUUGAUUUUUGGCUUUAUGUCCCUAUACCUCUGCUCACUGUCACACAAAAAAGAAUGGAUGGCUUCUCAAUAUUCAUUUCCUUGUAUUUCAGGGAGGGAAAAUAGUGUUUUGAGAAAAGCUGCUUCCAUGUAGGAAGCUUUAAAGCUGUAGAAGAGGUGAGAUCAAGCUUGGAGUCUGCAGAAAGGACCGCUAGGCCACUGAGUCCCACUUUUCUUCCAUGUCAUUCUCUCUAGUUAGUAACUGCCCCUUGGACUGAGUAUUGCAGAAAUACAAUCACUCUCAAUUAUUGAAGGGCUAGUUUGUGGAUUUGUUUUGUCUUCUCUUUUCAGCUUUUAGGUCUUGGGCUCUAUUUCCUUUUAUUAACAUUUUACCCCAAUGGUUGAAAAUAAACAUUUGGAAAUAAAAUUCAAAUUUUAUUUUAUUUGUCUAUUUUAUUUCUUGUUAAAUAUUGAUGCAUUGAAGGAAAUUAUCCAUAAUGCCCCUUUCCCCACCACAAAUAAUUAAGAGUUGGCUGUAUUCUUGCAGAAUAUAAAGGAAAAAACUGUAGCAAAGAAUUAGGCUUCCUUUAAAAGAAAGCUGUUUUGUUUGUUAACUAUUGAAAUUUGAACUAGUAGAAAACGUCAACUCAAAAUUGAGUUAUGAGAUGAUAAUAGCAACUCUUGGUUAACUAUACACUCAGCCUUUUCUUAAAUCUUUGACCAAAAAGAAAAAAAUUCAUUAAACAAUUGUUUAUUUUUGACUUUGCAUUACUAUAUUAAGUAAUUUGACACUCCAGUCUAUUUUUUUGUAAUCAUUUCAUAUUAAAAUAGUGUCCAAGUGUAGCACUGUUGUUAUCCUUUAUAUUUUAAACCCUCUGGUCCCAGAUUAUUAAGAAAGAUGCUCUCUCCUCCUCCCAAAAAUAUGUUAUUUCCUCACAUAUAAAAAAGAAAUGAUUUAAUACUUUUCAGGAACUAUAAAAACUAUUUCAAAGAGACCUUGAAAAUGUUUUCUCCAUUCUGGAAAUUAAUGCUUCCAUUUAUUUAAAAAGAAGAAUAUAAUUGUAAUCUUAAUUUUUUUAAAUUGAUGUAAAAGUGUACUUGCUAUAAAAUAUUCAGUUUCUUAAAAAAAAAGGGACAUAGUUUCUUCAAAACCCUUGUUUCAGGCCAUAUUUGACUUCAUGGAACUUCUGAAGCAUCAUUCAAUUUCGAACUCCAUUUACGAGCAUUUUGUACUGCUGUCUCUGAUUGUCAUGGAAAGUUCUGUAAUUCUAUGGUGUUUCCGGUUUUAUUUUUAAUUUUUCAUCUGUACCACAGUCAAGUUAGCUACCAUUUCCCCAUUCCUUGGGCUUUCUGUAGAUCAGUGGAUGUUAGGUUUAAACUUCUGUUUUCUUUGAUGAAGCUUUCAAUAAAAAAUGAAAAUAAAA